rnacentral:rRNA from 1 species
CCUACGGGCGGCAGCAGUGGGGAAUAUUGCACAAUGGGGGAAACCCUGAUGCAGCGAUGCAGCGUGUAUGAAGAAGUCUUUCGGGUUGUAAAGCUCUUUCAGCAGGGAGGAAAGUGAUGAUGUCUAACUACUAAGCCCCUGCGAACUCCGGACCAGCAGCCGCGGUCAUACUGAGGGGGCAAGCGUUAACCGGAUUUAAUGGGUGGAAAGUGAGCGUAGACGGCCUGACAAGUCAGACGUGAAAGCCCAGGGCUCAACCCGGGGACUGCUUUUGAAACUGCCGAGCUGGCGUGCAGGAGAGGGAAGUAGAAUUCCAAGUGUAGCGGUGAAAUGCGUAGAGAUUAGGAGGAAUACCAGUGGCGAAGGCGGCUUACUGGACUGUAACUGACGUUGAGGUUCGAAAGCGUGGGGAGCAAACAGGAUUAGAUACCCUAGUAGUC